UUCAGUUUCAUUACUGUUUUCUUCCUUUUGUGAACAGAGCUAAGCAAAGAGCUAUGGAAUGACCUUCAAAUUGUGUGAAAACAAACUUGUGUCAACACAAAACUGAAUGAGAAAAGAGCGUGUGUGCCUGAGCAUUUCUGAAUGAACAGUGUGGAGAUGUCCACUCCCACUGGCUCCAGGACUGGAUAUCCCACGGCACACCAUGCAGCCAUCUGCUGGCAUCUCUGCAUCUGUUUGGAUGCUGACACGUGGAUAGGAAGGCAGUAUCUGGUGCUGUAUGUGAAGACAUGACUGAGCAGAAAAUUGAAGGGGGAGGAGGGAAGCCCAAAAUUCUGGUAACAUACCAAGUGAUGGA
rnacentral:lncRNA from 1 species